rnacentral:rRNA from 1 species
AUGGGCCGACGAGCCACUAGGAUGAUGCCGGGAGAGGAGGGUUUUACUUCUGCCUCGGCUACAACAAACACAGGUAGAGCGGGCCGACGAGCGACCAGGAUGAUGCCGGGAGAGGAGGGCCACGUGGACUCGUCUUUGACUGGUUUUGCUACGGCCUCGGCAACAACAAGCACACAUCAGGUAAUGAAUAAAUGCAGUGAGCUAUCACUGGAGCAAAUGCGCGGGAAAGCUAAACUUUCAUUGCUGGAAGAUGUAGCUGAUUCGCCAAUCAAAUUAUCUGCAAUCUCGACAGUGGUGGUUGCCUCUUCGUCAUUUCAGGAGAUGAUAAUCUCAAGUGGGAAAAAGCCUGGGAAGUCACAGGCUGAAAGGGAAAGGAGUUGA